ACUCCUACGGGAGGCAGCAGUGGGGAAUUUUGGACAAUGGGGGCAACCCUGAUCCAGCAAUGCCGCGUGAGUGAAGAAGGCCUUCGGGUUGUAAAGCUCUUUUGUCAGGGAAGAAACGGUAGUAGCGAAUAACUAUUACUAAUGACGGUACCUGAAGAAUAAGCACCGGCUAACUACGUGCCAGCAGCCGCGGUAAUACGUAGGGUGCAAGCGUUAAUCGGAAUUACUGGGCGUAAAGCGUGCGCAGGCGGUUGUGUAAGUCAGAUGUGAAAUCCCCGGGCUCAACCUGGGAAUUGCAUUUGAGACUGCACGGCUAGAGAGUGUCAGAGGGGGGUAGAAUUCCACGUGUAGCAGUGAAAUGCGUAGAUAUGUGGAGGAAUACCGAUGGCGAAGGCAGCCCCCUGGGAUAACACUGACGCUCAUGCACGAAAGCGUGGGGAGCAAACAGGAUUAGAUACCCGAGUAGUCCCAUGAU
rnacentral:rRNA from 1 species